AAUAUUGGACAAUGGGGGGAACCCUGAUCCAGCCAUGCCGCGUGUUUUAAGAAGGUCUUCGGAUUGUAAAGCACUUUACGUUGGGAGGAAGGGUGGUAGGUUAAUACCAUGCAAUUUUGACGUACCCACCAGAAUAAGUCCCGGCUAACCUCGUCCAAGCAGCCGCGGUAAUACAAUGGGUGCAAGCGUUAAUCGGAAUUACUGGGCGUAAAGCGCGCGUAGGUGGUUCGUUAAGUUGGAAGUGAAAGCCCCGGGCUUAACCUGGGAAUUGCUUUCAAAACUGACGAGCUAGAGUACGGUAGAGGGUAGUGGAAUUUCCUGUGUAGCGGUGAAAUGCGUAGAUAUAGGAAGGAACAUCAGUGGCGAAGGCGACUACCUGGACUGAUACUGACACUGAGGUGCGAAAGCGUGGGGAGCAAACAGG
rnacentral:rRNA from 1 species